UUCAAAAACAGCAAAAACAACAAAAUAAUCAACACAAAUGAUUACUCUCAUCUAUUUUAAGUCAAGUCCAGUGCCACACAACAUGGAGUAUCUCAAUUAAUAUGCUCUAUAUAUAUUUGUUUUUUUAUCAUCAAUCUAUCUUUAACUCCCCCCCACCCUCAGAAAUAUUAGAUAAACACAUCAAUAAAAAUGCAUUGAGACAGUUAAGAACAACUUCCACCAUCGACUAAAGAGACAGUUAAAAGCCAAAACUCAUAUUAUUCAAUGUCAAAACGGUUUUCUACAACUAAAGUAAAACCUACCAAAGCCCAUUGGUAAAAAGGGAAACAUUUGGUUUACAUACAUUUCUAAGUAAGUUGAACUAAAUAACCACAGGGAAAAGUAGCAUACAAAUUGCAGGGAGUAAGAUUCAUUCCCAUAAUGUAUUGGAAAAGUCCCCUGUAAUUGGAAUAGCGUCGGCAACAGGGUUAUUGAUUACAUUAGUUCUUGUCUAUUUCUUGUGGAAGAAAUACUUGGGAAUGGAAGGGAGCACGGAAGGCAGUAUGAGUGAGACUAUAAGUAAAGCCAGAGCUGAAGCUGCGAAGAAUGAUGCAGAACUAC